rnacentral:tRNA from 1 species
GCCUGGCUGGCUCAGUCAGUGGAGCAUGUGACUCUUGAUCUCAGGAUUGUAAGUUCAAGUCCCAUGUUAGGUA